rnacentral:lncRNA from 1 species
UGAUGUGUAUCGGAUCGUCUAGCCUUGCUAAUUCGAACAACAAUCGUAAGAAGAAAACAAGAGAGUAAAAUGUGUGUAUCUGUUUAUUUCUCAAGAAAAUUUCCUCCCCAAUACAAUGGUUUUCGUUUCCUAUUUAUAAUUACAUGAUUUGAAACCGAAGUCGCUCAUCAAGCCGCAGAUCUCGCCUCCAUUAUUGCUUCCGUUUCGAAUCUUCCCGAUCUCGCACAUCCCGUGCAACCCGCCUUUCAUUUAACUCGUGGGAUCC